rnacentral:tRNA from 1 species
UCUUGUGUAGCACAGUGGGUAAGGAACUGGGCUUGUAACCGAAAGGUCGCAGGUUCGAUUCCCAGGGAGGA